UAUCCCCUGCAAUGUGCGUGCUUAACUGUUCGUUUUUUGAGCCAACACUUUGAAACCGGGGACCUUUCCUUGUUUGCGGUGUGCAUGUCCACCAGCAUCUCCUGAUAGGAGGUGGAAAGCCUAAAGCAACAAUAAGGUACCCACGUGGUCGAAAGGUUCAAAAAAGCGGUUAACACGGCAUAGGCGGGGGUUUU
rnacentral:other from 4 species